UUUUACAUUAGGUCAGAAGUGCACCUGUACUGGUCAGACCAGUUCUCACAGCAUGCCUGGAGCAUGGGUUUCAGACAACACAGUUUGAGGAGGUGACUCAAACACUGGAGUUCAGACAAAACCCUGAAAAAUGGUUGCAUUUUUAUCACAGCAGAUUUGGACCCAUUCUGAGAUUCUGAGAUUUGUUACAAAAAUGUACUGGUCUCUGUGAGAUGCUGAUUCUGUCCUCAAAGGAGAAAGGUCAGGGGCUUUUGGCCAUCCCUCUCCACUUCAGGAUGCUCUCGUCCAGGGGCACCAGGUCAACCAGGACAGCCGCGAGGGGCACACAAACCCCCAGCUGGCCCUGGGGAGUCUUCACUGCAGGAUUUGACGUCUAAAAGGAUGGGGACUUGGACCUCGGGCACAGGUGAGCUCUAAGGCCCCCGAAAGAAAUCAUUCGGUCAGGCCCUGCCAGGGCAUCAAGGCAGGCGAAUUUUCAAAAUGAUCAUUUUGUUUGGCCCACGAAUGAUGCGAUCAACAUUCACACGGCUCCCCAUUCCAACACAGGCCAGGUGCCCAGCCAUUCUUUCUGCAGGGGAGGGGAGGGAGCUGCCACCCAGCUUUAUCAAGGUCCUGUGACGCCUAAACCCAGCUUCUCCUUUCGACCCUUCACAGAGGCCGGGUGUGGGUGGUCACCUAAUCGCCUCGCUCAUAACUUUUUGAGGGAGGUAGUGGCAAAACUGUAGCUGGAUGCCUCCCCGUCGGGGAAUCGAACCCCGGUCUCCCGCGUGACAGGCGGGGAUACUCACCACUAUACUAACGAGGAAUGCCCUGCUGCAGGCCU
rnacentral:tRNA from 1 species